rnacentral:rRNA from 1 species
UACGAAGGGGGCUAGCGUUGCUCGGAAUCACUGGGCGUAAAGCGCACGUAGGCGGCUUUGCAAGUCAGAGGUGAAAGCCCGGGGCUCAACCCCCGGAAUUGCCUUUGAGACUGCAUCGCUAGAAUUGUGGAGAGGUAAGUGGAAUUCCCGGUGUAGCGGUGAAAUGCGCAGAUAUCGGGAGGAACACCAAUGGCGAAGGCAGCUCGCUGGGACGUGACUGACGCUGAGACGCGAAAGCGUGGGGAGCAAACAGG